GGGUAGUUUGACUGGGGCGGUCUCCUCCUAAAGAGUAACGGAGGAGCACGAAGGUUGGCUAAUCCUGGUCGGACAUCAGGAGGUUAGUGCAAUGGCAUAAGCCAGCUUGACUGCGAGCGUGACGGCGCGAGCAGGUGCGAAAGCAGGUCAUAGUGAUCCGGUGGUUCUGAAUGGAAGGGCCAUCGCUCAACGGAUAAAAGGUACUCCGGGGAUAACAGGCUGAUACCGCCCAAGAGUUCAUAUCGACGGCGGUGUUUGGCACCUCGAUGUCGGCUCAUCACAUCCUGGGGCUGAAGUAGGUCCCAAGGGUAUGGCUGUUCGCCAUUUAAAGUGGUACGCGAGCUGGGUUUAGAACGUCGUGAGACAGUUCGGUCCCUAUCUGCCGUGGGCGCUGGAGAACUGAGGGGGGCUGCUCCUAGUACGAGAGGACCGGAGUGGACGCAUCACUGGUGUUCGGGUUGUCAUGCCAAUGGCACUGCCCGGUAGCUAAAUGCGGAAGAGA
rnacentral:rRNA from 1 species